GUAAUUAUUUUAUAACCCACAUAACAUUACAUUUAAGUGGAGGUUAAUUGGCUAAUUAAUGGAUUAAUUCCUAAUCCAUUAAUCAGCAAUUAAAUCACCCACAAAAUAUACCCAAAAAUCCCAAAGGGUCGGCCACCCUUGUUGAUCUCAUCAUAUUUACCUAUUUUAUCACAUUAAUUAGCUAGUUAAUUUGGCAAUAAUUUUAUUUGCUAAAUUAAUUAGUCAAUUAUUCCCAUAACUCCUAAAUUCAACCUAAAUCAAGAACCCUAUCCCUAUAAAUAGGCUCUCAUUCUCACCAAAAACCUAGGUCCUCACUCUUGCUAAAAUUCUCCAAAGCUUUCAAACACUUUUCUCUCAAAAUUCUAACUUUGGCAUCGAAGGUUCUUCGGCCAAAGUCCCCCCUAAUUCAUCGUGGGUGCGAGGGGCUCUUGGCCUUGACCUAAGGUGUUAUUUAUUUUGUAGGUGCAAUUUUGUCCAAGAUCAAGAAGGAAGAAAUUUGCAUCCACAAAUUGGUGCUUUCAUUGAGAGGUGAGAUCCAUACUCGUAGAAGACUCUCGCAUAAAAAGGUUUUUCUUUAUUUUCUAGUCCAUUUGAAUAUUUUCAUACGUUCUUAUUAUUAGAUUUUUUUAUUUGCAAAGGUUCUUUGAUAAAACGUAUAAGAAAAAUAUAAUGGCUAGAAAUUUAGAAAAUUCCACAAGUGAAAAUUCUAAUACUUAAGAAAUGGGACCGUGGCGAUCCACAAGGCUAAAUGUGGUCAUAGGCGGAGUGGUACCACCACUACGAGGUUCCAUCAUGGCCCAAGCCGUGCCAUCCAAGCUUGCAUGGGCCCGAGCCCAAGCCUCGCAUUCGCAUGCAUCAUGCACUGAGCAGCCUGCUCCCGCCGAGCAACCCACUAUCGUGGCCCAACCUGCUCUCGCGGCCCAGCCUGCUCCCGUUGAGCAGCCCACUCUCGCGGCCCAGCCUGUUCUCGUGGCCCAGCCUGCUCACGUAGCUUUCCAAGCAGCCCAAGUCGACCUAAGACUAUCUCAACUAUCCGGACCUACCAUCAAGCCAGGGGUAUUUUCACCACAUUUCUUCGCGGAUUUGAUAUUUCCCAACUUAAAUCUCGCGCCCGGAGCCUACCACAAUUCCACUGCUCAAUGAGGCACAUUCCUUCCAAGCGUUUCCAAUCUAAAUGACGAACAACACUUGUCUCGACAAGUCAUAGAGUUGACGAACAUCCUUGCACAACAGACAACCUUGGUGAAUCAACUCUUAUAACGCACCAAGAUCCAACAUGCCUCGGACAAGGUGUCUCGAACUAGAACAAGGGCAGAUAAACCUUUCCACCAGCGUCCCGGCAAGCAGCCCAUCAACCAGCCACGAUUUGAGCGUUAUGGCAGUUUACACUCCCGAUUGGGCCCCCGAGAUAGCAUAUACUCCCGUCUUAGAGCGCGAAUGAGCGUGCACUCUCUACUAAGCCCAUAAACGAGCAUACAUUCACGGUUAGAGUCACACUCUGAUAGUCAACAUAAGCAACCUUCCAGGCGAAGUGUUCAUUCGCGGCUAAGCUCACAAGGAGCAUCAUCCACCUCACAUCGGAGUAGGCAACACGACGGACGAAGAGAAACAGUUACUCAAUACGGUUCAAGUUCAACCGGCAGCCUACGAAGAACUCGCUCGCUUGCUAGGAACGCGCUACACUCACCGCAUCCACGGCAUAGACGAGCCAAACACAUGGAAGAGCAGCCUAGACCAGCAAGUCACGGUUGGGGCAGCCAAGAGCUCCGCUACCUUAACAAAGACAAAUUUAGAAAAAGUAUAAAGACUAUUGACCAAGCGAUUGCCCACUUUCCAACGCAACGAGGUCAUUGACGAGGCACUACGAUGGAACAUGACCAACAUAAACAGGUCAUCCUUCACAGACGAGAUCGAGCAGGCAGAGCCUUCACGCGAGUUCAACAUGCCACAUUUCACAUCUUUCAAAGGGGAUAAAGACCCGGAGAGACACUUAAAGCACUACCGAAGCGCAAUGAUCCUUUAUCGAAACAACGAUGAUCUCAUGUGCAAAAUAUUCGCCACUACUCUACAAGGCGAGGCGCAAGAUUGGUUCUACACCCUGCCGCCACAAUCUAUCCAAAAUUUUGACGAACUCUCUCUGGUUUUCACCAAAGAAUAUUCAUCCUAUCGCUCUAUAAAAAAGAAGUCCGACCAUUUGUUUGACGUCAAGAAGAACCCAAAAAAGUCGCUUCGUGACUAUAUGAGGAGGUUCAAAGCAGAGAAGGCAAAGAUAGUUGGAUGCAACGACUCGAUAGCUAGAGCAGCCUUCCAAAAAGGACUUCCAGCAAACCACCCACUGUUCAAAAAACUGAUAAUGAAAGAAGAUCAAACUCUGGCAAACUUUUUCGCUCUGGCAGAAAAGCAUGCACUUUGGGACAAAGUUCGCCUAUGCCCAUUUAAGGCAAAUCCGAGCGAUCUUGAAUAUGAAGUUCCCCACUACUCUGAAGAAUAUUCAAAGUCUGACUGGAUGAAUAGUUGCAUCUGAAGCAGUAAUAAGCUCUACCAUCAUACGAAAAGAGCUGAGGGCCCGACUACCUAUAUUCUACAGUUCAAAAACUUUCCUCGAUGCUAUUAAAAAUUCAAAAGCUAACUUUGACGAUAGUUGUUGUAACCUAGAAGCUCAAGUUUUACCUUCAAAUGCAUGCAGUUAUCCUCAUGACGCACUAUUUCGCCCAAUCCAGACACGCGAAGAUAAAGGCGUAAAAUCCUGACGAAUGUAAAGUUUUCUAACGAACACAACAACUCGACCCAAAAGACACGACAAGGGUAAACGAACACUAGAAGGACACACUUAGAAGCAAGUUUUGUCCUCGUCGCCCCCAAAAGAUUCUACAUAUGAGCAACAUGUACUGGCAAUCGAACACCAAUUCCUAGUACGUGUCACACGGUCCUAGCCGACCCUUGCUCCAUAAUUCAACUUUAGAGUGGUCCAACACCAGCAGUUGAGCAUCUUCUGCUUCGUGUAACAUGGCUCUAGCUCCACAGCUCCCUACCACGCAUUUAUGACGCAACAGAACGGCCCAACGAUGCCCCGAAAGUAGCCAAGCACACUCUAGCCGUGCCUACUCCACCUAAUGGAGACUUCUGGCAUUUGCAUGUCAACGGCGCAUCCAACUACAAAGGUUCAGGAGCAGACGUGGUCCUUGUCACCCCAGACGAUUCGAUGCCCAAGCAGGCGAUCAUUCUAGGUUUUAAAGCAUCUAACAACGAAGCAGAGUACGAAGCCCCACUAACAGGCCUUCGAAUGACAAAAGACGUGGCGGUGAAAAAACUUUCAAUUCAUUCCGAUUCCCAGCUAAUCACCAACCAGACUACUAGGGGCAAAGGCAUGAUGAUCUUGGCAACCGACUACUUCACCAAAUAGGUAGAAGCAGAGCCCAUGACGACCACAAUUUAGACGGACAUGGAACAAUUCAUAUGGAGGAACAUCAUUUUUUGAUUUGGCAUCCCUUAAUCCAUCAUCACCGACAAUGGGCUGCAAUUCGUGGGCAAAGAUUUGGCGAAGUUCUUAAAAAAAUAUGGCAUCAAGCAGUACAUGUCUACGCCAAGAUAUUCUCAAGGUAAUAGGCGGGUCAAAGUAUCCACCAGGAUGAUCCUCGACUGCCAUAAGAAAUCCCUUACCAGUAAGAAAAAAAAAAUGGCCAGACGAACUCCCUGGAUGUCUCUGGGCAUAUCGCACCACCAAAAGACGAGCAACCGAAAGAAGAUGGCCACAAGCUUAAAUCUGGCAGAGGAGAAAUGCGAGCAGACUAUCACCUGCAUCGCAGCUUACUAGCAGUAGUUUUUUUCCAGCUACAACAAAAGGGCUAAGAUAUGGCAGUUCCAGCGCAGAGAUCUAGUCCUAAGAAAAGCCUUCAUCAUUGCCCACAAAGAAGGCUCCAAAAAGAUGGAUCUCAUCUGGGAAGGUCCGUACAAGAUCAGCAGAAUAGGUGGCAAGAGUAAUUACACCCUUGCCACCAUGAAACGAUAAAAAGAUCGAAAAGUAGUAGAGCGCCUACAAUAUGAAGAAGUAACAUAUGUGACCUCCCACUACAUCAAAGCCCGAAGACUCAAGAAGCUUGACAGGCACCACCUCACAAGUCGAUGACUAUCCAGUUAUUAUGCAGUUCCUACCUUACAGCUAAGUUCUCGUUCGUUUCACUCGUUUUUCAAUGAGAAAUUCAGAAGCAAUCACAACUUGGCUCGGCUGCAUGCUUAGAACAACUUAUCACUCCGGCACUUCAAAAGAAGAUUGCGCUCUUCUUAGGGAUUCAUCGCAAAAAUUGCACCCCCCAAGGGACCAACCAUGUUCUCCAGUGCGAAAGAAUAAACUAAUUGCUCUCCAGUGCAAGAGGGUAAACCAAUUUCCCAACACCCAUAUGGGUCAGCUCUCCAAGACUAGAGGAUAAACUUUACACUCCGAAUAUCCAGACGUGGAUGAGUCUGGCUGCCCUAGUAUAACUAGAUGCACGAUGACUUGCAUCGGGAUUCCUAGAAGUAGCCACAAUGGUCUUUUUCAAGGCUUAGCUAACUGAAGGAUUUUAGGUCUCUUGGCCUAAUCCGCGGGGAACCAGGCCCUAGAGACGGAGGGGGCACAUUACACAGUACGCCCUACAGACGGCUGCCUUGGAACCAUAAAGCUGCUACCGAGUGCACUAAGGUAGCCUACAGAUUCCGAAAGACUACCUACUGCUUGCCCUUCGAGCAGUAAAGCCACGCUAAACUUAUACAACCGCACAUUCUUGUGAAAGGUUAAACAAGCUAGCACGCAUAUACAAAGUUUUAUCCACUGCUGACAUGUUACAUAGUCGAUAAGCUUCACCUCUACCAAGCGCGGAACAGCCUACACCAAGUCCUAAAAUGUUAUGAUACUUGCUACGCAACCUACCGAAUUGGAAAAAGUCAAGGUUAACAGCCUAGUGGUUACGCGGACUUGUCUGCUUCUGUAAGUAAGGCAUCCGGCUGCCAACCCUAUGGCUAACAACUUUGCAAAGUUCUACACCAACACCUACGGCUGCAUAGGCUAUGCGAGCUUAUCUGCUUAUAAAAAAAUAGCAUGCCUACCACUGGUCUAUCAAGUCUAAAGGUUAGGGUCUGAACAAAAGAAGCAAAGAUGAAGAAAAAUGAAGGAAAACAUGUUUAUAAACAACUAGCAAAGGCCGAAUGAGUUCAAGCAAAACAAGAGCUACAAGGAAAAACAAAGAAAAUCCUAAAGGCUACCUAGAAUACUACACUACAUCAGCUUGGACAUCCUACGACUACUCGGUCGCCACACCUUCAGCAGCCAUAAUGCUCUUAGCAGCGUUAUCAUCCACCGCUUCACCUCCGGUUGCCCCAACAUGGGCACUAACUUCUCCAACUACUUCACCAAUGGAAGCCUCAAAAGUAAAAGCAAGCAAGUCUUCCAGAGAAAUAGAGAAGGUCUCGAAACCUCAAGCCCAUCCUUCUCACCCUUCAGCUGCUCAUUUUUCUCAAGAAGAUUAACACGGACGCGCUACAGCUCAUCCACUCACUUCUUAGCAUAAACAAAAAUCAACUCUUCAUCCUUUGCAUAAGCAGCGAAACAAAGCUCAGAAACUGCAAACUCAAGAUCUUGAAUCUGAGGUAUAUAACAUUCAAUCUCCUUCUCUGCACUUUCAUACCUAACUUGGAUUGCGUCAAGCCUAGUCUUCAAGUCAAAGAUCUUGUGGUGAGCGGUCUCAAGCUGCAAAGAAGUGGGGGCAGAAAUAUUAGACCUCUUCAAAGCAACAAGCUCAAAAUCCAACCUCUUGAUCUCUUCGGCUGAGGAAUAAGCUUCAGCUGCCAUAAUCUUCGCCACCUCCUUGACAGCCUUGCUAUAUAUGCAUCAUAGCAAGUAGAGCAGUCAUUCUAUAUUGGGUUGUAUGCUUCGCAAAGGAACUUGGGCAAACAACCUUUAUACUGCUAUCAACAAACUUGGCACAAGUGUCCAUGACUUCAAGCAGAUCUAGUUUUAAAAGCACACAAAUCUUAACAGCUUCCCCAGAAACAGGCUUAGUGGAUUUCUCACAGCUGCCCAUGCAAGCAAUAUCUUCCUUCCUAGCAGGCAAAUCAGUUUCAGCAGUAAAGGGAGUAGGCCUUGGCACCAUUUUAGCAGCAGAGUCCACCUUACCACUCUUCAUAAUAGCAAGUAUCUCCAAAGGUGAACCAAACUUGGCUCCCAACGAACGUCCUGGUACAGACUUCGGCAUUGGGGGCAUUAUAAAACAUUUACACUGAGCAAUCUUAUCAACAAUUGUACUAGCUAUUCUCAACAUGGAAGGCGCCACAUGCUCAGAUCUAGCAGCCUCAUUUUUCUUCCCAUUGGAAGAAGUUAUGCCAAUCACAGGCCUCUCGACAGCAGACAGAUCAUCAUGAGCAGCGGAGGAAAUCUUCAAUUUUUUCUCAACCGACAUCUCUUGAGUAGGCGAGAAAGAUCUAUUAUUUCCACCUUUAUUCAUAGUAAGCUCCACGACAACGAUCAGAUGAGCCAAUGCAUCCGCCUUGAUCCUCUUUAAAUCAUAUUUGGGAGCAGUCCACCUUACUUCCAGCGAAGAGAACUAAGCAACCAACGACAUUCACGGUACUCAGCAGGCAGAAGGCCUACAUGCCCAGCAUUCCAGCAACCCAUGAGGCCCACGACCUCUUCAUUUCUUUCAGUCGCCAGCCUGGCCCAAGUAAGGUCUAAGAGCCCAAAAGACAUGAGCCAUGUGGCUCGCUUAGCACUGGGCCCCAACACUACAAUUCGCGGCCCCGACCGCACAAUUUGCCUUUGGCUUUAGCCAAGCCAAACAGCCCAAGCAGUGGCCCCUGCCAUGACGCAUUCUCAGCCCAUGUCGAGUCGACUCUUGGCCCCUGCCAGCCGACGUGCUGCACCACCCCGAUGACUACCCCGCAAUAGCACUAUCCAAGAAGAAGACAAGAAAAAUUAAAGUUUUCUUACAUCGGAGCGGCACGGAGAAGACAAAGAAAUCAAUGAAAGACGGUCAUUUGCACGGGCAAGAUGUAGAAGAUUGCUAAAGGAGAGGGAACAAAUAUCCUCUAAGCUCUCUCUCUCUUGUAGGGUAGAAUAAAUCACUUUCCCAAGUUGAUUUAAUAACCCACUUAAGGUGGACUUAAAUAGGCUUUGAGAGAAAUUUAUUUCCCUUUCCUAGAAUGACAUAAUUUCCUAUUAAACAGAGAAUCUACAUCAAAAUAGGAAGCAGUUAUAUGUUUCCUAAAGCAAGAUGAUCUCUACACAUGCUGCCCUUUCCUACGAGCAGCCCAACAGGUGUGGAGGCAUUUGUGGAGCCAAAAAUAAACACAAGGCGACACGUGGAUUUUUGGGUAAAAGAUGACAAAAAUACCCUUGAGGCAUACCGGGCUUCUUACGCACGAGCAGCGGACAAUCAUCCGUCAACCAAGUCAAAAGUGUCCAAAAUAGGUAACCAAUUCAAAGAUAUUCUCAUCCAUCCUCAUCUUAGGUAAUUAUUUUAUAACCCACAUAACAUUACAUUUAAGUGGAGGUUAAUUGGCUAAUUAAUGGAUUAAUUCCUAAUUAAUCCAUUAAUCACCAAUUAAAUCACUCACAAAAUAUACCCAAAAAUCCCAAAGGGCCGGCCACCCUUGUUGAUCUCAUCAUAUUUACCUAUUUUAUCACAUUAAUUAGCUAGUUAAUUUGGCAAUAAUUUUAUUUGCUAAAUUAAUUAGUCAACUAUUCCCAUAACUCUUAAAUUCAACCUAAAUCAAGAACUCUAUCCCUAUAAAUAGGCUCUCAUUCU
rnacentral:lncRNA from 1 species